UUUUCCAACCGACACGUCUAGGCUUGCACAAGCAGCCAAGCAAACAAAUUUUCUCGCAUGCGAUACUCCCUUCCGCAUGCAACUUUGAUUACUCCGCUCUCAGCAAAUAGUUUCACCAACUUUUGACAACUAUUGUCAAAAACGCCGGCGGAUAGCUUAAGCCGUCUUGCAUCUAAGUUCAUAACUUCCUUUUUUCUGUUGGAUGCUGAGCUGCGAGGACGUGUUGGAUGAAAAAUUAUCCCGGAAUCAUCCACUUAAUCUUCAAUAUUACCGCCAAUUUUAAUAAUAAGUUUCCUGUCUUGGACUUUUGCAUCCGCAACAUUUGCAUGCUUCUUAUGUUAAUUUCUCGAAACGUUGAAGAAUAAGCAAAGCGCCCUACCGGGAAAAACUUUGGAGAGGAAAGUUCUCCAUCUAAAGCUCCUUUUCUUGCGGCGCUCAUAGCAGGCUCAUUCUCAACGCAGGUGCCUUAGUCUACAUCGUCCGCGCGCGUUAAGCGGUGGUGCCCGCAACGAAAAUUUUUUGAGAUUUGGCCUUAGUUUUUUUCAUCGAGGGAAUCUAACCAGCCGCUGAUGAGGGCGGGAGGCAAACCCCCUCCGAAAAGUGAACAAAUCGGCGAAAACCCCCGUUGAAAAACGACCACAGAAAAAUAGACCCAUAUACAUAUAAGUGAAUUAAUCAAAAAAAAAAAAAAAAAAAAAAAAAAAAAAAAAAAAAAACCCAAUGAAAUCCGAAACACAUGUGAAUAUGCCUAUGUAACUAAUUACAUAUGUACCUAACUAACGCCUAUUAAUCUUGUCGCGUUAAAUUCAAAAGACACGCAAAGUGCACUCGAAAACUAAAUUCUCAUAGUGACUAUAAUAUCGUUUUGAAAAAAUAAUUAAAAGCCUAGCUACGUUAGCAG